AACCAUAGAAACCUGCGGAGUACCUGCGGAAGGAUCAUUUUUGAAGGCUACACGCCGACAUUGUGAAACGCCAGAAGCGCGCAAGCGUGGAAGGCACUGCUUGGGUGGAGCCUAGCUCUACCCAACUUUUAAACUUUUACCAAUUUAUCUGAAAACUUGAAAAUUUAAAACUUUCAACAAUGGAUCU
rnacentral:misc_RNA from 1 species